rnacentral:sRNA from 1 species
GCCGGGUGUGGUGGUGCAUGUCUGUAAUCCCAGUGGCUCUGGAGGCUGAGGCAGGAGGAUCACGAGUUCAAAGCCAGCCUCUGCAAAAAGUGGGGUACUAAGCAACUCAGUGAGACCCUCUCUCUA